GAUGAACGCUGGCGGCGUGCCUAAUACAUGCAAGUCGAGCGAACAGAUGAGGAGCUUGCUCCUCUGACGUUAGCGGCGGACGGGUGAGUAACACGUGGAUAACCUACCUAUAAGACUGGGAUAACUUCGGGAAACCGGAGCUAAUACCGGAUAAUAUAUUGAACCGCAUGGUUCAAUAGUGAAAGACGGUUUUGCUGUCACUUAUAGAUGGAUCCGCGCCGCAUUAGCUAGUUGGUAAGGUAACGGCUUACCAAGGCAACGAUGCGUAGCCGACCUGAGAGGGUGAUCGGCCAAACUGGAACUGAGACACGGUCCAGACUCCUACGGGAGGCAGCAGUAGGGAAUCUUCCGCAAUGGGCGAAAGCCUGACGGAGCAACGCCGCGUGAGUGAUGAAGGUCUUCGGAUCGUAAAACUCUGUUAUUAGGGAAGAACAAAUGUGGAAGUAACUAUGCACGUCUUGACGGUACCUAAUCAGAAAGCCACGGCUAACUACGUG
rnacentral:rRNA from 1 species